GACGAACGCUGGCGGCGUGCCUAAUACAUGCAAGUAGAACGCUGAAGAGAGGAGCUUACUCUUCUUGGAUGAGUUGCGAACGGGUGAGUAACGCGUAGGUAACCUGCCUUGUAGCGGGGGAUAACUAUUGGAAACGAUAGCUAAUACCGCAUAACAAUGGAUGACACAUGUCAUUUAUUUGAAAGGGGCAAUUGCUCCACUACAAGAUGGACCUGCGUUGUAUUAGCUAGUAGGUGAGGUAAUGGCUCACCUAGGCGACGAUACAUAGCCGACCUGAGAGGGUGGUCGGCCACACUGGGACUGAGACACGGCCCCGACUCCUACGGGAGGCAGCAGUAGGGAAUCUUCGGCAAUGGGGGCAACCCUGACCGAGCAACGCCGCGUGAGUGAAGAAGGUUUUCGGAUCGUAAAGCUCUGUUGUAAGUCAAGAACGGGUGUGAGAGUGGAAAGUUCGCACUGUGACGGUAGCUUACCAGAAAGGGACGGCUAACUACGUG
rnacentral:rRNA from 1 species